UUGUAACUAACUGGUAAGUGCUUCCUGGGGAGGGACUCUGAAACUUUUUUUUCUUUCUUUCUGUUGUGUGUGUGUGUUUGUUUUUCUUUUUUAAGAGACAGGGUCUUACUCUGACACCCAGACUGGAGUGCAGUGGCGUGAUCAUGGCUCACUGCAGCCUUGGACUCCCGGGCUCAAACCAUCCUCCUGCCUCAGCUUCCCAAGUAGCUGAGACUACAGGCUGUGAGCUGAUUUGUACCUGGGAAAGCCAAAGUGUUCACAUAGACUAAGUCAGAAUAAGCUCCUCCAACUCGACUUGAUCCUGGGUGCAGAAAAUGCUGGAAGCCUGACACAAUCACAGCCCAAAGGGAGCAAAUGAAAAGAAAUCCUCUGAAUGAAAUUUGGGGUCUCACUUCGGGCAGCACCCACCCUCUGCAAAAGGGAGAUGUUUCCACAGCUGCUGAUCCUGGAUCCAGAGGCAGCACUCCCUCCACGAGGGACACUCGGGCAUUGUAAACUCAAGCAUCCCUUUGUUUUCCAUUCUUCACUCAGACAUUCCUGAUGACUAACUAGGGAUCAAUAUAAAUCACGUCAUUGUGAUCUCGGGUCUUUUCCUGCUAAAGAAAAGUAGAGAGUAUAAGGAAAUGACGGUGGUUUGAAAACAGAAAGCAAAAGUACUCCCUACAAAAGUUAUCUGGAGCUAUUAGGAAAACAAGGAAGAGGCUCCUGGUGAUUUGGAAGCCGGGCCAAGGUCUAGGAUGCAAUUGAUGUCAAUAGGUCCUUUGCAGGUAGAGGGACAGGUGAGGUCAUAGUCUGACGUCUGUUCUUACAGGGCUCCUCCCUGGAAAUGACUCGCUCUCUCUGUACUCAUUUCCUCUCAAGGCUUUGUUCCAGCAAGGGUUUCUUUUGAAAUAGGAGAAUCCCAGGUGGCACAGGAUGGGAUGGGGUCUCAGUGGGAGCAGUUGCUGCAAUUGCGAAAGAGGAGGAGGAGGAGGAGGAGGGGAAAGAGGCAAUACUUCCAGCCUCCAGGGAAAAUCUCUGUGCUUGCUGCCUUAUCACAGUGACUGGGUAAGCCCAGGGAUCCAGUAACGAAGGAAGGAGGUAGGGGGUGGCCAGGACAAUAGUUCAGUUGUUGUCCAAGGCACGCCCUCAUCACCUUCGUCAUUUCUCUUUUUGAGGCAGAAAUCCACCCUCAGAUGCACACACAAAGCUGUCAUUAACAGAAGCUUCACGUGCACCCCGGAAAGCAAAAUUGGGCACUCGGCUUCAAAGGAAACGGCUUCUUCCUUCACAAUACUUCAUCACUAAAUGGUUGUCUGGCAUGUUUGUUUUUUCAAAUGUCCACAUUUUAUUUGUCCAACUGAUUGUCUCUUUAUCAGCAGCAGCCAGGACCACAGCUGAACUGUUUGUGAGUUGGUAGUUUAUAAAAUCAAUGCUAAGUCUUUGCUAGUGUUUCUCUAACACGCUCAUUUGUAUUUAUUCGUCUCAGAAGUCAAAGAAAAAAAC
rnacentral:lncRNA from 1 species